rnacentral:rRNA from 2 species
CGCAUGGGGAGUCUGACGCAGCACGCCGCGUGAGUGAUGAAGGUCUUCGGAUUGUAAAGCUCUGUUUUCUGGGACGAUAAUGACGGUAUUGAGGAGGAAGCCACGGCUAACUACUUGCCAGCAGCCGCGGUAAUACGA